CGCCCCCUGCUUCUCCAAACAUAGGGGGUACUGCCUGCCCAGUGAACUAUUUUCAACGGCCGCGGUAUCCUGACCGUGCAAAGGUAGCGCAAUCACUAGUUCUCUAAAUAAGGACCUGUAUGAAUGGCAACACGAGGGUCUAACUGUCUCCUCUCUAAUUCACAAAACUUCUCUGGUGGUGCAAAAGCCGCCAUAUAAGCGCCAGACGAGAAGACCCUAUCGAGCUUGAGAACCAAAAAGAACGGACCACACUAAAGUAGGAAAUCUCCUUCUUUCCCCGCUUUCUUUUACGUUUUUUGGUUGGGGCAACCGCGGAGACUACACAACCUCCGCACCAGAAUAUUAAGACUUCACGUCAAGAACGGAAAAGUGAUCCGGUACACCCGAGCAAUGAAAAAAGUUACCGUAGGGAUAACAGCGUAAUCCCUCCUGAGAGCCCACAUUGACGGAGGGGCUUGCGACCUCGAUGUUGGAUCGGGAAACCCUGAUGGUGCAGCCGCUAUCAAAGGUUGGUCUGUUCGACCAUUAAAACCCC
rnacentral:rRNA from 1 species